UACGUAGGGUGCAAGCGUUAAUCGGAAUUACUGGGCGUAAAGGCGUGCGCAGGCGGUGAUGUAAGACAGAUGUGAAAUCCCCGGGCUCAACCUGGGAACUGCAUUUGUGACUGCAUCGCUGGAGUACGGCAGAGGGGGAUGGAAUUCCGCGUGUAGCAGUGAAAUGCGUAGAUAUGCGGAGGAACACCGAUGGCGAAGGCAAUCCCCUGGGCCUGUACUGACGCUCAUGCACGAAAGCGUGGGGAGCAAACAGG
rnacentral:rRNA from 1 species